UUUCUUUAUUCUCUUUGUAAUCUCUACUUUCUUCUGCUGCUCUGCACAGUUUAUGAUUUUUUUGUGUUUAUGAUUUCAUUGGUUCAGUCAAUGCAAAAAGGAUAUUUUCCUCUUCUCAGUUACAUUUUUAUUUUUUUUUCCCUUGCAAUCUCUGAUUUCAACUGUUCAGCUUGUGCAAAAAGGAGAGGUGAUCCUUUUUUUUUUUCCCAUUUGUAAUCUCUGCUUUUUCCUGUAUAGUGUCCUUUUUAUUUUUUUUUCUUUAUAAUAUAUUAUUUUUUCUGUUCAGUCAGUGCGAAAAGGAGAGAGGAUUUGUUCUUUUUCCCUCUGUAAUUUCUACUUUCUUUUGCUUAGUGUCGUUUUUAUUUUUUUUUUCCCUAGAAUUUAUGAUUUCUUCUAUUCAGUUAAUGCAAAAAGGAGAGGUAAGCAAGAAUAGGCGACAGUAUCUGAUCAUUUAGGAAAUGGGGCAUUUGAGGAUUUCUUUUUUAGCAAGUCUAGUACGUUUAAGAGUUACUCUCAUGGGUAUCCAUACCAAAUCCAAGAAGCAAACCAUAAAAUUGGAUCUUGCAGUAAUAGGGCUAAAGGAAAAUCCAAAGUUGCUGUUGAAUCUGAAAUUCCAAGGAAAAAACGUGUUUUAAUUUUUGUGACAAUUAAAUUUUUAAUGAUAAUUAUUUUAUUUUUUCUAUGUUUAACAAUAGGGAUAAAAAAGAAUA